AAAUAAUCUAUCCUCAUUUCUAUUCGUUUAUUCUUUACUUCCCUAGAUCAUAUCACCAUUUUCAGUCCUUUCUUUUCUCAGAUUCACAAUAUUAGAACUGCAAAUCGCCUCACUUUUCAGUUGAAGCCAUUGACAUCAAAAGAGGAAAGGGUCUUGUCCUUUCUGAAGGUGGAAGAGUCCACUAGCUUUGGACCCAUAGGACCAAGAUUUUGGCUUCUGGUCAACACUACGCCGACAAGGCAUUUAACCCCUUCACCACAAGGAGUAAACCAAGCCAGCUCAGCACUUCCUGUUUACCUCCUGGUAAUACAUAUUGUACAUGGUGACAGGCCUGCUCACAAAAUAAGCUUCCUUGGUUUAAGUCUGCAUUUUCUGGUUAGGCAACCAGCCUGACGAUAUUUAAACAAUGAAGCAAUUUGGCUAUGGAAGCCUUGUCCUAACCUUCCCCACUUCAAUUGUCCGUGGAAAGGAGAGGCCCUGAAUCUAAUUAGGACCGAAAUGGGGCAUCACACAGUGCCUUUCAUUUGAGAAUAUCAAAACAUUGUCAACUCUUAAACUUGAAGUGUGUAACAUGGGCGACCACAAAGAUAGUAGCGUCUCGUUCUCCGUGGGCCUUAUCUUACCUGGCUGAAAACUUCCAGGCUGUCGGACUCCGUCCAUUUGCUCAGCAAGGAGACUUCUGACCCUGACCGCAUCUCAGCUGCACCCAGACGGGACCCUUUCCAACCCACUGCAGCCCAGACAAGCACAGGGCGCCGCCAUGUCACAAAUAAUUCCAUGCUUAGAAUUCAGGCCCCUGAAUUGGGGGAAUUUACCGUAGGAGCUGACUGAAGCAAAAUGUCCAGAUUUAAUCACUUCUGAAUUUAAUUUCACACACAUAUUUUACUCCUGAUAUCCUCUGCAUCGAACACUUUCCCACAAGAAGAUGAAGUGGCGAACACGGUUCGCUUCCCCCGGGGAACCCAUGCCCAAGGUGUGUGUUUUGCUUCAUUUUUUAAAGAAUUCUUUUGGCCAAUACACAUCCUCCGAGUUACUGUGUAAAAUCCAGUGCCUGAUUCCGAAAUUGUGUGCAUCUGCUGGACAUACACCCUGUUAAACGCUCAUGACUGCCGACAAAUGUGAAAAGUAUUACCAGGCCUAUUUUUAACAUUGUUUUGGCAAGGCUGCUGCUGUGGGGGGGAAAUUCCUAUAGAAUCUUAAUGAGCAAACUGAAUGAUUCUUUGAAAUGUGGUUGUGAUUCCCCGACUUAUAGUGGUGAUGUCAGUGGUGCUGAGAAGCAAGAAACAGUAGAAUCGCUCAUUUGCCAGCAGGCUCCAGAGAGACCCCAGAGGGCUGUGCGGACGGGCCUGCGCCUUCCCUACCGCUCUGAGGGCUACGUGUGUCCCCGCCCAGGGCACGUCUCACGCGCUGGGUCUGCCAUCUCUGCGAGCCUGUGUCACCGAAGGGCACACUGUCCGUGUGUGCUUUUACGGGACCUGACCCGCCGCUGGCCUUUUUCUGUUUGUCACCCGCAUUUGUCUUCCAGAGAAGGACCACCUGUUCCAGCUGCUGGAGAGAGACAUGGCUUUCCUCCCGCUCCCUGAGUCCCCUUGGUAGCACUGAACGGCAAGGGACCAGAAGUUCAAACUCUGAGGACAGGGGAAGGGAAGCCUGAAGGAGGCCUGUCCGCAUGUCCUCACGCACACCAUCCCUGCGGCCUCCUCGCCACCCACUCUGAAUCCUCUGUGUCCUGUCCUCAGUGGCACCGGCCCCAUUGGAACGAGGCGUCAGGCCGUUCAGCUCCGGUGACUUGCACAGGCUGCGCCCUGCACACAAGCAGGCCUGGGGGCCCGCGUGGGGCCUUCACCAGCGGGCGCUGCCUGGCCGAGCCUGGCGUCCUGCUCGGGGACACGUGUCCGCCUAGAGCAGUGAUGGCGAACCUAUGACACGCGUGUCAGAGGUGACACGCAAACUCAUUUUUUUGGUUGA